ensembl:lncRNA
CCCCCCAUACUUUGUGGACGUGUUUAAGAGACUGAGCAGCUCCAGAUUGACUGCCCUUGUCGUAGGCCGGCAGUUUGCAGACGUUGGAGACUACACUCUUGGGCCUUCCUCAGGAUCGCCUGCUGUUUGCAAACUGCAGGCCGGAGUGGUCGUCGUCGCAGCAGCUGGGUCUGGAUUGCAGUACGCUGGCGCUGCGGCUGCUCUAUGGGGCGGUGAAGGUCCAGCGGCGGCUGAGCAGGGCUGCAAUGGCUCUCAAGCUGCUAUGCGGGACUGCGCUGGCUCCCUCCGGGCCUGGGUGACAACAGCACGUGCCGCCGCAGUCACGAGUUGUGGUGCUGCAGCGGUGGGUCACUCCAGUUGUGGGCGUCGCUGGACCUCAGCGGGGAGUGUGUGUGGCGGCCCUGGGUUAGGGUUAGGUGAGAAAAGGAUUCUGACUGCUCAAAGGCCAUCGGACGGUCCACAGGCUUAAUUUGUUUAGGGUCACUAGUAGCUUAAAGUUGUGUCAAAUAAUUUAUGGUUUAAAAACCGGCUUUAUUCCCAGGGGUGGAGGGUGAUGGUGGAUCGCAUUCUGGAAUGUCAAUGAAAUCCAUCUCGUAGUCCUGGGCCCAUUGACUGCGCCAAUCCUGAAAGAUAUGGUCUGCUUUUUUUCCUUGUCCAUUGUGGCGGAUCCUGUUGGUCUACUUGGAAGAGGUCCUCUUGAAUGGGUUUGGGGACCUCUAUGACCUACUCUCAGGUAUGCGUCAAAUUGUUAACGAUUUAGUAUACCUGGGGGGGGAUUUUCUUGUAGUUUUGGAUCGGAGCCCUAAGAAUGCGGCCGUCUGGGAAUGUUCUCAGAGUCUGAGCAACCUCCUGAGUUGCUUUUUAAUGUUUGUAAUUUGAAUGUCUCCAUGGAGUUUGUUCAUUCCCACAGGGAACUACCAUCUGGACAUAGGGACAGUGAUUACGUUUCUCCAGGACUCCUAUUAGGUGGUGGAUCUUAGCCUCCGGGAAGCUGUCCAUUUGUAGAUGGAGAGGUAUAUUGGCUAUAUUGUGGUCUCGCAAAACUACAAUAGUUUCUUCCGGUUGUAAGUUCCAAUGGAUUGUUUUUUGGUAGAUGGUGGGAUGAAUCCUGGGACCCUGGGGGGGGGAGACGGGGGAGCCCCCAUCCAGAACUCGUCGCCCCGGGGCCCCAUAUUAGGGCCUCCUCUCCGGUGUCGGCUCAGACUCAGGGAAUUUGUCCUCCAGAUAGGGAAGUAGAAGGAGGGGGGGGGGUCAGAAUUGAAAUUAAGUUAAGGGAGCGUUGGGGAAGUUUUUCCUGUGCCGAUGGUGGGUUUCGGGGCAGAGGAUGUUGUAUGUGUACAGACUGUAAAGCCCUCUGAGGCAAAUUUGUAAUUAUGGGCUAUACAAAAUAAAAUGAAUAAACCAGCCCAGAGUGGAAGCCAGGACUUGUUUCGUGGUCGGAGUCCCUCAAUUCGCCCAUGAGGUCUGCCAGGUCAUGCCUAUCAGUUUCCGUUUGGGCUCCACCAUUUAUUAGUGUUUUAGUUUCUCAUUAUGGUGUCCCCAAGUCGCUUUUUGUACCUAUUUCUUCCAUUAGGCGUUUGCCUUUUUAAAGACCACCUGCUUAAAAGAAGGUAGGUUGUGAAGGCCCACCAUGAUGACCUCUUGAUAGUGAGUUUUUAAGAUCUCCAUGUUAUGUUGUAACCAUCUCAGUGUUCACUUUUAUUUUGGAGGCAGUGCGGUCAUUGGGGGAGGACGGCCUGAUAAAUGCGGUCAGUUUGGUGACCUGCCUCAUCAUGUACCUGGGAGGAACCCCAGAGGCUUGAAUCUCCUCUAUAACCUCAAAAUAAUAUACGGCUUGAAGCAAUUUAAAAUACUUUUCUCCAGUUGGUUGGUUUUCUUUGCAGGUGCCUAUCGCUGUGGACCCCUGCCAGGGAAGGAUAAAAGAUUGACAUCUCAUGAAAAUAAAAGCCAUAAAUAACAAGCUUAAUAAGGUCUCAAAGCCCAAAUAAAGGAUCUCCUAACGUUUCGGCUAUGUGCCUUCUUCAGAGGAGGAUGCGAGAGGGAGUUAAAAACAGGACAUUUUUAUAGAGGAAGUGGGGGUUUCCCAAAGGAGGUGGGACUUCCUGUCAUUUAAAAAUAAAAUGAACUCAGCUGUGAGUAAUAAUUAAAA